GGGCUUGUGGUUUAGUGGUAUAAUACUCCCUUAGCAUCAACGACGAGCCCUCCUCUCUUCGAGAGAGAGAGAGUUCACGAGAGAGACUGGGAGUGGUCCGGGGUUCGAUUCCCCGCGAGUCCA